CUGCGGUGGGAAAUAACCCCGGGAAACUGGGGAUAAUGUCCCAUAGGCUACGGAUGCUGGAAUGCUCUGUAGCUCAAAGAUUUAUCGCCACAGGAUGGGUCUGCGGCCGAUUAGGUAGUUGUUGGGGUAACGGCCCAACAAGCCUUUGAUCGGUACGGGUUGUGGGAGCAAGAGCCCGGAGAUGGAUUCUGAGACACGAAUCCAGGCCCUACGGGGCGCAGCAGGCGCGAAAACUUUACAAUGCGGGAAACCGUGAUAAGGGAACUCCGAGUGUCCGUAAAUGCGGACUGUCCGUAUGUCUAAAAAGCAUGCGAAGAAAGGGCCGGGCAAGACCGGUGCCAGCCGCCGCGGUAAUACCGGCGGCUCGAGUGGUGGCCACUAUUAUUGGGCUUAAAGCGUUCGUAGCUGGAUUGUUAAGUCUCUUGGGAAAUCUACCGGCUUAACCGAUAGGCGUCCAAGGGAUACUGGCAAUCUAGGGACCGGGAGAGGUGAGGGGUACUUCAGGGGUAGGAGUGAAAUCCUGUAAUCCUUGGGGGACCACCUGUGGCGAAGGCGCCUCACCAGAACGGCUCCGACAGUGAGGGACGAAAGCUGGGGGAGCAAACCGGAUUAGAUACCCGGGUAGUCCCAGCCGUAAGCGAUGCGCGUUAGGUGUAUCGAUGACCACGAGUCAUCGAGGUGCCGAAGGGAAACCGUGAAACGCGCCGCCUGGGAAGUACGGUCGCAAGGCUGAAACUUAAAGGAAUUGGCGGGGGAGCACCACAACAGGUGGAGCCUGCGGUUUAAUCGGACUCAACGCCGGAAAUCUCACCGGAUAAGACAGCUGAAUGAUAGCCGGGCUGAAGACUCUGCUUGACUAGCUGAGAGGAGGUGCAUGG
rnacentral:rRNA from 1 species